AACGUAGGUGGCAAGCGUUGUCCGGAAUUACUGGGUGUAAAGGGAGCGCAGGCGGAUUGGCAAGUUGAAUGUGAAAACUAUGGGCUCAACCCAUAGACUGCGUUCAAAACUGCUGAUCUUGAGUGAUGUAGAGGUAGGCGGAAUUCCCGGUGUAGCGGUGGAAUGCGUAGAUAUCGGGAGGAACACCAGUGGCGAAGGCGGCCUACUGGGCAUUAACUGACGCUGAGGCU
rnacentral:rRNA from 1 species